AAACAUAGCCUUUAGACACUAACCAUAUUAAAGGUCCCGCCUGCCCAAUGAGACCCAAACUCUUAAAUGGCCGCGGCAAAACCGUGCAAAGGUAGCAAAAUCAUUUGUCCUCCAAAUAGGGACCAGUAUGAAUGGCCACAUGAGAAAGACACUGUCUCUUUAGGCCCGCCAAUGAAACUGAUCUGUCUGUAAAAACGCAGACAUUAAAAAGCAAGACAAAAAGACCCUGUGAAACUUUAAGUGCCCGUCACAAUAAUGAUCAAGACACUUUUGGUUGGGGCAACCAAAGAGAGACACAAACCUCUUAAACAGUCACACGGCAGACAAGCCAAAUGACACCACCCUAGACCCAGUACUACUGAGCAAAGGACCAAGCUACUCCAGGGAUAACAGCGCCACAUUCUUGAAGAGUCCAUAUCAACAAGAAUACCUACGACCUCGAUGUUGGAUUAGGAUACCCCAAUGGCGCAAAAGCUAUUAAAGGUUCGUUUGUUCAACGAUUAAAAUCCCACGUGAUC
rnacentral:rRNA from 1 species